rnacentral:rRNA from 1 species
AUAUAAUGAAUUUUUUGAUUAGAUUUUAUAUGAAGUUCAAUUGUUAAGUUUAAAGGUAUUGGCGGUAAUUUAUUAGAUUCUGAGAAACUUGCUUGAUUAAAGUGAUAUUACACAGUUUAUCUUACCUUAAAGACUUAUUGUUUAUGUAUUGCUGUUUAAUUUAUUAUUUGAUAUUUAUAAUAGGUUAAGUUUAAUAUUAAUAUUAGAUAAUUCAAGUCAAAAUGUAGCUUAUUUUAAGGUUUGAGUGAGUUGCAUUUUUAUGGAAUUUAAGUAUUAUUAAUUUAAAUAUUUGGUUUAGUAGGAUUAGGGUGUAAGAAGAAAGUAGUUAGUUUUUCUGAUAAAUUUUAUAAUUAUGU